rnacentral:tRNA from 1 species
GCGCACUUAGCUUAGUUGGUAAAAAGCAUCACUCAUGAAGGUUGAGGACAUGGGUUCAAAUCCCAUAGUGCACA